rnacentral:lncRNA from 10 species
AGAGAAGCUCCUUUUGCACUGGAGAGUUCUGAGCUUGUGGAAUGUAAACUCUGGCUUGCUGGAGCCAUCUUGUCACCAUACUAGAGAAGCCUGUCAAGAAUGAACUCCAUACUAAGGAUCACAGGCCUGAGAUGUGAGGAUGGACAGAAUCCUGGUAAAAUAGAUUGAGUUCCUGGGUCCAGUCAUAUCAGAAGCUAGUACUAUGAUGGUCUCUGGAUCAGGAGAAGUGCACUCAAGGAGCUGUACUUGUGGAAUUUCAGCUGAGGAGCCUGACCUAUAUUUGAACUUGAUUUAGACAAAGGGAUCCUGGAACAGCCUGAUGCCAUUCUAAAUGAUAUUUACAGGGGUCCUUGUGGGGUGGAGGUGAGUGUUUGUUGCAUGUGGG